AUUGCUUCUUGGCCUUUUGGCUAAGAUCAAGUGUAGUAUAUGUUCUUAUCAGUAUGGGUCUUUUUAAAUGAAUAAUUUCUCAGAUUAUAAAUUUUAUUACAUUUUGUGAUUUUUGUCUCAGAAAAUUUCCACAACUUCC
rnacentral:snRNA from 2 species